rnacentral:tRNA from 1 species
GGAUGUGGCUCAAGCGGUAUUGCACUCGCCUGGCAUGGGUGCAGCCUGGGUUCGAUCCUCAGCACCA